AACGAACGCUGGCGGCAUGCCUAACACAUGCAAGUCGAACGAGACCUUCGGGUCUAGUGGCGCACGGGUGCGUAACGCGUGGGAACCUGCCCUUAGGUUCGGAAUAACUCCCCGAAAGGGGUGCUAAUACCGGAUAAUGUCUUCGGACCAAAGAUUUAUCGCCUUUGGUUGGGCCCGCGUUGGAUUAGCUAGUUGGUAGGGUAAAAGCCUACCAAGGCGACGAUCCAUAGCUGGUCUGAGAGGAUGAUCAGCCACACUGGGACUGAGACACGGCCCAGACUCCUACGGGAAGCAGCAGUGGGGAAUAUUGGACAAUGGGCGAAAGCCUGAUCCAGCAAUGCCGCGUGAGUGAUGAAGGCCUUAGGGUUGUAAAGCUCUUUUACCCGGGAUGAUAAUGACAGUACCGGGAGAAUAAGCUCCGGCUAACUCCGUG
rnacentral:rRNA from 1 species